rnacentral:rRNA from 1 species
GAUGAACGCUGGCGGCGUGCCUAAUACAUGCAAGUAGAGCGGCGAGGGGACGGGUGAGUAACACGUGGAUAACCUCCUAUAUGGCUGGGAUAACUUCGGGGAACCGGAGGUAAACCGGAUACUGAUAGAUGAAUCCGCGGUGCAUUAGCUAGUUGGUAAGCAAACGGCUGACAAAGGCAACGAUGCAUAGCCGACCUGAGCGGUGGACCGGCCACCCUGGAACUGAGACACGGGCCAGACUCCUACGGGAGGCAGCAGUAGGUAAUCUUCCGCAAUGGGCGAAAGCCUGACGGAGCGACGCCGCGUGAUUGAUGAAGGUCUUCGGAUCGUAAAACUCUGUUAGUGGGGAAGCGGUACCUAAUCAGAAAGCCACGGCUAACUCCGUGCCAGCAGCCGCGGUAAUUC